rnacentral:rRNA from 1 species
GACGAACGCUGGCGGCGUGCCUAAUACAUGCAAGUAGAACGCUGAAGAGAGGAGCUUGCUCUUCUUGGAUGAGUUGCGAACGGGUGAGUAACGCGUAGGUAACCUGCCUUGUAGCGGGGGAUAACUAUUGGAAACGAUAGCUAAUACCGCAUAACAAUGGAUGACACAUGUCAUUUAUUUGAAAGGGGCAAUUGCUCCACUACAAGAUGGACCUGCGUUGUAUUAGCUAGUAGGUGAGGUAAUGGCUCACCUAGGCGACGAUACAUAGCCGACCUGAGAGGGUGAUUGGCCACACUGGGACUGAGACACGGCCCAGACUCCUACGGGAGGCAGCAGUAGGGAAUCUUCGGCAAUGGGGGCAACCCUGACCGAGCAACGCCGCGUGAGUGAAGAAGGUUUUCGGAUCGUAAAGCUCUGUUGUAAGUCAAGAACGGGUGUGAGAGUGGAAAGUUCACACUGUGACGGUAGCUUACCAGAAAGGGACGGCUAACUACGUG